rnacentral:rRNA from 1 species
UACGGAGGAUGCGAGCGUUAUCCGGAUCUAUUGGGUUUAAAGGGUGCGUAGGCGGGUUAUCAAGUCAGCGGUAAAAUCGUGGAGCUCAACUCCAUCCAGCCGUUGAAACUGAUGAUCUUGAGUGGGCGAGAAGUAUGCGGAAUGCGUGGUGUAGCGGUGAAAUGCAUAGAUAUCACGCAGAACUCCGAUUGCGAAGGCAGCAUACCGGCGCCCGACUGACGCUGAAGCACGAAAGCGUGGGUAUCGAACAGG